rnacentral:rRNA from 1 species
GACGAACGCUGGCGGCGUGCUCAACACAUGCAAGUCGAGCGGUAAGGCCCUUUCGGGGGUACACGAGCGGCGAACGGGUGAGUAACACGUGGGUGACCUGCCCUUAGCUCUGGGAUAAGCCUGGGAAACUGGGUCUAAUACCGGAUAUGACUCCAUGACGCAUGUUGUGGGGUGGAAAGCCUUGUGCGGCUAGGGAUGGGCCCGCGGCCUAUCAGCUUGUUGGUGGGGUGAUGGCCUACCAAGGCGACGACGGGUAGCCGGCCUGAGAGGGCGACCGGCCACACUGGGACUGAGACACGGCCCAGACUCCUACGGGAGGCAGCAGUGGGGAAUCUUGCGCAAUGGGCGAAAGCCUGACGCAGCGACGCCGCGUGGGGAUGACGGCCU